UUUUGUGGAUGAAGAGUUAAAACAAUUCACAGUUAUCCCUGUCUGAAUUUUCUGAAGGAACCCUGUGACCUGACACAAUA